rnacentral:rRNA from 1 species
GUUAACAUCUUAAUAUCUACGAGAGCACCGGUUUUCCUCCGAUCACCGAAGUUAAGCAACGUCGAGCCUAGUGAGUACUUACAUGGGUGACCGCUUGGGAAACCUAGGUGCUGUAAGCG